rnacentral:rRNA from 1 species
CACGUAGGGACCGAGCGUUGUCCGGAUUUAUUGGGCGUAAAGAGCUCGUAGGCGGUUCGGUAAGUCGGGUGUGAAAGCUCCAGGCUCAACUUGGAGAGGCCACCCGAUACUGCCGUGACUUGAGUCCGGUAGGGGAGUGGGGAAUUCCUGGUGUAGCGGUGAAAUGCGCAGAUAUCAGGAGGAACACCGGUGGCGAAGGCGCCACUCUGGGCCGGCACUGACGCUGAGGAGCGAAAGCGUGGGUAGCAAA